CCUACGGGAGGCAGCAGUGAGGAAUAUUGCACAAUGGGGGGAACCCUGAUGCAGCAACGCCGCGUGAGGGAAGACGGUUUUAGGAUUGUAAAAUUCUGUUCUUAGUGAGGAAUCAUGACGGUCGCGAAGAAGCAAGCCGCGGCUAAAUACAUGCCAGCAGCCGCGGUAAUACGUAGGUGGCAAGUGUUGUCCGGAAUUACUGGGGGUAAAGGGAGCGCAGGCGGGAAGUCCAGUCCGCUGUGAAAGCUACGGGCUUAACUCGUAGACCGCAGUUGAAACUGGUUUUCUUGAGUGAAGUAGAGGCUGGCGGAAUUCCGAGUGUAGCGGUGAAAUGCGUAGAUAUUAGGAGGAACCCCGGUGGCGAAGGCGGCCAACUGGGCUGCAACUGACGCUGAGGCUCGAAAGUGUGGGGAGCAAACAGGAUUAGAUACCCUAGUAGUC
rnacentral:rRNA from 1 species